CUCACGGGCAAGCAAGCAAGCUUUUCGGUAUUUGUUCUCUUCUCCGUUGUAUCGUGUAGACUGUUCUUCGUUUGGAUCAAAAUCAAUGUGUGUUGUGUCAAUUCGGUGGCUUGGGUAGGCUAAUCAAUAUCGAGACUUGAACUAUGUUGAGAUGGUAGGGUAGGAUGUGUUUAAUUUUGUUUUGAUUAAAAUUGUAACUGUGUGUUUAUUAUUGAGGGGAUGCCUUGGCAUCGUUACAAUUGAGGAGACACCUUUACAAAUAGUUGUGUCCCAGUAAUGUUUUGUACUGUACAAUCUUAACCGCUAAUGCAUGAUUAAUUAACAUAGUUCUUCCUCCAUCAGAUUGUUUCCCAUAUAGUUCUAUAAGAGAAAGAAUAUUUUAGAAUAAAACUUAUUCAUAUUACUCAGUGUAAAUACAUAUAAAGUAUUUAUAUUACAAUAUUAUGUCUAAAUUACAUAAUGUAUCACAUAUUAUGUCUGAAUCACACAAUACAAUACAAUAUUAUGUCUGAAUUACAUAAUACUCCGAAGGACUUUGUUCUACUUAAUGUCUGAUGAAGAGAAGAAGGAAAGGUAAGAAUGGCGGGACAUCUCGCUCAACCCGCUCAAGCCUUCGUAAGGUCCAUCCUCAAGGAAGCCCAUACCGCAACUUACCGUCGCCAUCACGUCUUCAACAUUCGUCGCCGGGAGUUGUUGCUGCCAUUCAUCUUCGUCGACAUGUUAUUGCCGUUCGUCGCCGUUGGCUUGCUGCUCCCAGCGUUGGCCUCCGUCAGAGUCGGGCUCGCCGUCAUCAUCAGCGCCGUGCAACUCUGCGUCCAGAAAUCAUCGACGGACCACCGCCACCGCCACCAACGCCUCCGCGUCUGCCAUCGCCGGUGCCGACAUCUGAAGAUGAUGUUCCUCCAGGAUACGGUCUAGUGGCGUCGGCACAAACUCCAAACCCGACGCCUCCUGAACUGGUUCGCCUCAGCGAUGGCGACGUAACGCCCCGAUCUAUACGUGGGCGGGUGGAACCCGGCUGCACUCAACUUCAACGUCGGGAACCCCUCCGCGGUGCCCCCAGGCCGCAACCUCGUGGCGCCCUCUAGCGCGGGAGGGUCAGCCACCCCUUGAAGACAGCAGCGGUAGAGACAAGCGAUGUCGGCGUGGACUGGAGGCGGCGGCGGUUGGGAAAACCUACCCGACCACACGCACGAAGACUCCAGUUUUGAUCGAUCUCCUCCGCAUGGGCCUGCUGGGCCAAAAGGACGACUAUGCCUCCAUCAAGGAAACGUCGAUUUGCAGAUCUUGUCAAGAGUUCAGAGGAGUAGUUAACAAAUAGCCGUGAAGGAAAACAAGGUAUGACGUCGGCAAGCUCUGGUUCAAAAGCAACAUUUGGCGAAAGCACUGGGUGGCUGGAUUGAGAGCUGCAUCUGUCACUUCUGGUAGUUCCAUAAAACCUCACCGAUUCUUCUGGUCAAUUAAGUGACUGUUUUUUCUUCAGGCGUAUCUGUUCUCAGGAUCUCCUGCUGGCCUACUGUUGAUCGACAGUGGAUAUUGUAUUUACAUUGUUGUUCAUAAUAGACAUAGCAACACCCAGAUAUUCAAUCAACUAUGUAUUAGAAUUACCAGAAUACAAUAGUCAGAAAGGAAUGUAUUUAGAGCACUGAGGUGUUAUUUGUGUGAUGCAUCAGUUCCUUUUA